GGAGGGUUGGUAGAGUGGUUUAUUACGUCGGUUUUGAAAACCGAUAAGUUACUUAACUUCGAGGGUUCAAAUCCCUCACCCUCCU
rnacentral:tRNA from 1 species